GACGAACGCUGGCGGCGUGCUUAACACAUGCAAGUCGAGCGAGAAAGCCCCUUCGGGGGUGAGUACAGCGGCGAACGGGUGAGUAACACGUGGGCAACCUGCCCCGGAGACUGGGAUAACGUCCCGAAAGGGACGCUAAUACCGGAUGAUGCGUGACCUGCCAAGUGGGUCACGUCAAAUGGUAGCCUCGGCCUCUGCUCCGGGAUGGGCCCGCGCCGGAUUAGCUUGUUGGUGAGGUAACGGCUCACCAAGGCGACGAUCCGUAGCUGGUCUGAGAGGACGAUCAGCCACACUGGGACUGAGACACGGCCCAGACUCCUACGGGAGGCAGCAGUGGGGAAUCUUGCGCAAUGGGCGAAAGCCUGACGCAGCAACGCCGCGUGAGCGAAGACGGCCUCGGUUGUAAGACUCUGUCAGAGGGACGAAGGACCACUCGGUGAACGAGCCACGAGGUGACGGUACCGUCCACACGGAAGCCCGGCUAACUACGUGCCAGCAGACCC
rnacentral:rRNA from 1 species